rnacentral:lncRNA from 1 species
UUCUUAAUAGAAUAUAUUUUUCCCAUGUGUCUCCCCUUCCACAUUAAUGCAAAUACUAGGUCUCUCCUUCCUGAAUAGAAUUAUAGGUAAUGUCAUGGAUAACAGAUUACAGGGAACGUUGGGAAGCCACUGGUUGGAAAGAGUCCUGUUAGACAAAAGAUAAUCAGUCUGUCCUGAAGUCAAAGAGGAAGACUGCAAAGAAAUGCCUUCUGAUUACCUUGCACCUAGGAGAGAUGAGGGGCCGGGAAUAAAAGAGGACAGAACUGGUCUUCAUUUUCUCUGAUAAGAACUCUGGAGCAUUAAAGGAUGUUGAAAAUAGCUCCCAAAUUGUCACAACCUUUGUGGAUAUUAGUUAAUGGAAUUUUUCUAAUCCCUUAUUUUCUCUCUGUUCCAGUGAUUUGUCUUUGAGAUUUUUUUUUUCAAGAAUUGUUUCAUUCAACAUUAAUUAAGCUCUUACUGAAUGCCAGACACCUUAUGAGACCCUGGGGAUGUGGCAGUUCAUUGUGUUCAAUGGGAACAGCAUGAUGUGCAGAGACUGUGCUGUGGUGUUGGCAAGAGAGUGGGAUUAGAGAAAAGUGAAACCCUCAAUGAGGCUGCUUGGGCCAUGGGCCUCCCCUCUUGCACCUCAUUCACAUCUUGAUUCCAGAAUCGCAGUCAUUAUCUCCCAUCAGGGAGACCCAUGAAAAAUGCUGUCACCCUGCAGAUCCCUAAGAGAUGAGGGGGGAUUUGAGAUAACCACCUACCUUUGUUAACUUUCUCCAAGCUGUGAGAGUCCUUCCCCUCUACUGGCCCCCAGAUCAUGGGGUGAUUUCUUCCUUUAAAAUUGAGAUGAGUCCUAUACAUACAUAUGCUCAACUGCACAAAUCUUAGGGCUACAAAUGGAUGAAGCUUUACAUAAACAUGCACCAUGUCACCACCUUUCCGAUCCAGACCUAGACUACUUCCAGAACCCCAGAAGAUCCCUCUCAUGUCCAUGCCAUCCUUCUGCAAAAGGCAUUUAGGAGGCCGUUCAUAGCUGUACCUGCCCUCCUGCCCCUGCUUGGCAUAAUGAAAAAGGGGGGAAAUCCCACCAUCAACACAGAACAGGACAGUAAAGACCAUGUACCUUUUGGCAAGACCAAUACCUUUAGUCAGUCUCUGGGCCUCAAUAUCCUCAGGUAAAACAUAUCUGAGGCUAGUGGUUUUUAGAAUCCCUUCAGCCUAGGCUUGCUUUGAUUCUGAGUGAGAAAGAGAAUCAGAAGGCAACUUAAGUUUCUGUACAAUGGCUUUUAGGUCCACGUGCCAUUAACCAGGUGGGAUUUUAAAAUUAGUUGGAAAAGAGAAGUUCCUCUUUGGGUGGGUUGAGUGUGGAACCACCAGUUCUCACCUACAAAAAAGGAAAAAGGUAGUUGUUCUUUUAAGAUGAUGAUUUCAGGCUGUUUCUUAUAAUCCAGCCAAAGCUGGUCUCCCACCUAUGCUGCCUAAACUUGUCUAUUAGUCAAAUUUUGUAAGUUGUUCACCUAGACUUUGUCAAGGGUUCUGUUGCCUGGAGUUUGUAAACUAGUUGGGUUUCGAACAUGAACUCUUAGGAAGAUGUGCAUUGAAGUAGAAAAAUUUUGUUCAGAUUUGCUGUUAUUUAUUUUUUAAAUUAAAAAUGGAAAUGUAUUUU